GGCUUCGGCCCCGUGGAAACUGGCGCACGGGUGAGUAACGCGUGGGAAUCUACCCCGGGGUGGGGAAUAACCGCUGGAAACGGCGGCUAAUACCGCAUACGCCUUGCGAGGGAAAGCUUUAGCGCCCUGGGACGAGCCCGCGUCGGAUUAGCUUGUUGGUGAGGUAACGGCUCACCAAGGCUUCGAUCCGUAGCUGGUCUGAGAGGAUGAUCAGCCACACUGGGACUGAGACACGGCCCAGACUCCUACGGGAGGCAGCAGUGGGGAAUAUUGGACAAUGGGGGCAACCCUGAUCCAGCCAUGCCGCGUGCGUGAAGAAGGCCUUAGGGUUGUAAAGCGCUUUCGGCGGGGAAGAUGAUGACGGUACCCGCAGAAGAAGCUCCGGCUAACUCCGUGCCAGCAGCCGCGGUAAUACGGAGGGGGCUAGCGUUGUUCGGAAUUACUGGGCGUAAAGGGCGCGUAGGCGGAUUGUCAAGUCAGA
rnacentral:rRNA from 1 species